UACGUAGGGCGCAAGCGUUAUCCGGAAUUAUUGGGCGUAAAGAGCUCGUAGGCGGUUUGUCGCGUCUGCCGUGAAAGUCCGGGGCUCAACUCCGGAUCUGCGGUGGGUACGGGCAGACUAGAGUGAUGUAGGGGAGACUGGAAUUCCUGGUGUAGCGGUGAAAUGCGCAGGUAUCAGGAGGAACACCGAUGGCGAAGGCAGGUCUCUGGGCAUUAACUGACGCUGAGGAGCGAAAGCAUGGGGAGCGAACAGG
rnacentral:rRNA from 1 species